GUGGGGAAUCUUGCGCAAUGGGCGAAAGCCUGACGCAGCGACGCCGCGUGUGGGAUGAAGGCCUUCGGGUCGUAAACCACUGUCGCGAGGGACGAAUAAAUUGACGGUACCUCGAAAGGAAGCACCGGCUAACUCUGUGCCAGCAGCCGCGGUAAUACAGAGGGUGCGAGCGUUGUCCGGAAUCACUGGGCGUAAAGGGCGCGUAGGUGGCUGUGUAAGUCGGGGGUGAAAUGCUGCGGCUCAACCGCAGCGCUGCCUCCGAGACUGCACGGCUUGAGCACGGUAGAGGCCGAUGGAAUUCCCGGUGUAGCGGUGGAAUGCGUAGAGAUCGGGAAGAACACCGAUGGCGAAGGCAGUCGGCUGGGCCGUUGCUGACACUGAGGCGCGACAGCGUGGGGAGCAAA
rnacentral:rRNA from 1 species